rnacentral:rRNA from 1 species
UACGUAGGGCGCAAGCGUUGUCCGGAAUUAUUGGGCGUAAAGAGCUCGUAGGCGGUUUGUCGCGUCUGCUGUGAAAUCCCGAGGCUCAACCUCGGGCUUGCAGUGGGUACGGGCAGACUAGAGUGCGGUAGGGGAGACUGGAAUUCCUGGUGUAGCGGUGGAAUGCGCAGAUAUCAGGAGGAACACCGAUGGCGAAGGCAGGUCUCUGGGCCGCAACUGACGCUGGAGGAGCG